rnacentral:rRNA from 1 species
AACGAACGCUGGCGGCAUGCCUAACACAUGCAAGUCGAACGAGACCUUCGGGUCUAGUGGCGCACGGGUGCGUAACGCGUGGGAACCUGCCCUUAGGUUCGGAAUAACUCCCCGAAAGGGGUGCUAAUACCGGAUAAUGUCUUCGGACCAAAGAUUUAUCGCCUUUGGAUGGGCCCGCGUUGGAUUAGCUAGUUGGUAGGGUAAAAGCCUACCAAGGCGACGAUCCAUAGCUGGUCUGAGAGGAUGAUCAGCCACACUGGGACCGAGACGCGGCCCAGACUCCUACGGGAGGGAGGAGUGGGGGAUAGUGGAACAUGGGGGGAAGGCUGAUCCAGCAAUGACGCGUAAAUUAUGAAAGGCUUAGGGUUGUAAAGCUUUUUUACCCGGGAAGAUAAUGACCGUACCGGGAGAAAAAGCCCCGGCUAACUCCGUG